UUGAACGCUGGCGGCAUGCUUUACACAUGCAAGUCGAACGGUAACAGGGAGCUUGCUCCGCUGACGAGUGGCGAACGGGUGAGUAAUGCAUCGGAACGUACCCAGUCGUGGGGGAUAACGUAGCGAAAGUUACGCUAAUACCGCAUACGUCCUGAGGGAGAAAGCGGGGGACCGUAAGGCCUCGCGCGAUUGGAGCGGCCGAUAUCAGAUUAGCUAGUUGGUGGGGUAAAAGCUCACCAAGGCGACGAUCUGUAGCUGGUCUGAGAGGACGACCAGCCACACUGGAACUGAGACACGGUCCAGACUCCUACGGGAGGCAGCAGUGGGGAAUUUUGGACAAUGGGCGCAAGCCUGAUCCAGCAAUGCCGCGUGCAGGAUGAAGGCCUUCGGGUUGUAAACUGCUUUUGUACGGAACGAAACGGUUCUCUUUAAUAAAGAGGGCUAAUGACGGUACCGUAAGAAUAAGCACCGGCUAACUACGU
rnacentral:rRNA from 1 species